rnacentral:lncRNA from 1 species
CUCUCUCUACUCAGCUUUCAGACAGAUCACAUUCCUUCUUCCCUUUCCUCCCGAUUCUCUCUGUUCAUUGGAAACGUUUCGUUUCCUUCCGAUUUCUCUCAAAUUCAAUCGACUGCUUCGACUUUGCUUCUCCGCUCGCUUCUCUGGUAAGGAUCUCCACUGCCGCUUUCUUUUUUUUCCAUUAAAGAUUCAUAUUGCAAAUCUUCUUCUUUGAUUUUGUCAAACAACUCUUUAAUAUUUGUGGUUCUUUUAAUAUUUGUGAUUCUUUUACGAGAUAAAACAUAAAAUCAUGUUCUCUGAGUCAGAUCUGGAAUCCACCGUAACACUCAUUUAGGGAAAAGUCACCAAAAUCUAAGAUCCGUGUAAUCCUUUUUCGGUAACAAACGACCAAUAAAAAAUAUUAAAAAAGAAACCCAGAAAAUCCUCUGUGAAAAUAAAAAAAACGAAAAGAGAUCAAAACCCUAGAUCUUGAAAUAAGACUGAUUACUUCUCCCUGGUUUUUCUGUAAUUAGGUUGUGUGGAGUUUUGGAUUGGAGAAUCUUGAAAUGAAUCUGUAAAAUGCAAUCUUUGUAAUGUUAUUAAGGUUUGAGCUCACCAUUACAACGUAAUGACCUCAAACCCCAUGGGGGAGUCCUAAUCAUAAUGUAUCUUUGUUUUUUAACUGGGUACAAAUUGCAAUGGUGCUGGUUCUGCUAUUUGGGGUUUGAGGGCUAAUUAUAAUGUAUAUAAUUUUCAUUUAGUUUGAGGACAAACUACAAUUGUAUAAUGGAUUGUAUUAUGUUUGUUAUUUCAAUUAUUCAGGGCUUAGAGUUGAAAUUCCAAUGUAUAUCAAUUUUUAUUGGAUGAGAAGCCUAUUGGGUUCUAUUAUUAUUAUUAUAUAUAUUAUAUAUUUUUUUAAUUAGUUGUACUCAAAUUAUGGGUUUUGGAUCUUGUGGUUGUAUUCCAUAUUACAAUAUGUAUGUAAUAUUUGUAGGCGACAAGUCUGUUUAUUUAUCUUCUAAUAUUGUUAUUAAGUUUUGUUAUAUUUUUUACAGGUUAUAUAUAAUAUUUAUAAGUUUGAGCCUAUUGGAUUGUAUUUUUAUUAUUUUCGUCAUGAUAUUACCCACAUUAUUGUAUUUGAAUAAUGGAUUUCAGAUCAUUUGGUUGUAUUUCAUAUUACAAUAUAUAUGUAAUAUUCAUAGGUAUCAAGCCUAUUGAAUUGUUUUAAUAUUGUUACGAAGUUUUGUUAUAUUUUUUACGGGUUGUAUGUAAUAGUUAUAAAGUUCGAGCUUAUUGCGUUGUAAUAUUAUUAUUAUCAUGAUGAUACGACACAUAAUAUUGUAUUUGAAUUAUGAGUUUCGGAUCAUUUGGUUGUAUUCCAUAUUACAAUAUGUAUGUAAUAUUCAUAGGUAUCAAGCCUAUUGAAUUGUUUUAAUAUUGUUACGAAGUUUUGUUAUAUUUUUUACGGGUUGUAUGUAAUAGUUAUAAAUUUCGAGCCUAUUUCGUUGUAAUAUUAUUAUUAUCACGAUGAUAUUACCCACAUUAUUGUAUUAGAAUAAUAGAUUUUGGAUCAUUUGGUUGUAUUCCAUAUUACAAUAUAUAUGUAAUAUUCAUAGGUAUCAAGCCUAUUGAAUUGUUUUAAUAUUGUUACGAAAUUUUGUUAUAUUUUUUACGGGUUGUAUGUAAUAGUUAUAAGUUUCGAGCC